GGAGCAUGUGGUUUAAUUCGAUGAUACGCGAGGAACCUUACCAAGGCUUAAAUGUAGAUUGACCGGUUUGGAAACAGAUCUUUCGCAAGACAAUUUACAAGGUGCUGCAUGGUUGUCGUCAGCUCGUGCCGUGAGGUGUCAGGUUAAGUCCUAUAACGAGCGCAACCCCUGUUGUUAGUUGCCAGCGAGUCAUGUCGGGAACUCUAACAAGACUGCCAGUGUAAACUGUGAGGAAGGUGGGGAUGACGUCAAAUCAUCACGGCCCUUACGCCUUGGGCCACACACGUGCUACAAUGGUAGGUACAGAGAGCAGCCACUGCGCGAGCAGGAGCGAAUCUACAAAACCUAUCUCAGUUCGGAUCGGAGUCUGCAACUCGACUCCGNGAA
rnacentral:rRNA from 1 species